ensembl:lncRNA
CGGUUCUAUGUAGGUAGCCCUCAGAUCUGCUAAGCAAAAAGGUAAAAGUGAUGCAACAGCAAAAUGUCCACUAGAUGCCAGGCUUCCUUUGCAGAGCAGAGCAGCUGCACAGCUUUGCAAAGCUUUACACAAAUAGCCUCUCUCUCCGAUGUAGUGGACACAAGCUGUAGUGUUUAGCACCAAAUCCUACUACCUUUUGGGUUCAGUGACAAACCCUCUGGAUUUAUCCCUGCUAUCUCCCAGAAGUUUUCAAGAAGGGCAAAAGACAUUUCAGAAGAACUAAAUAUAGGAGCUGUUGGUAAGAAGAACUGGGUUUUUCUACGUCCCUUAUUUCUGUAUCAGUAGAAAGCUCCCAGAGAAGAGACCGGAAUGAGUUGUGUAGCUGACACACUCGAUCAGCAAACAAACCUAGUUGAACAGUAGCAUGGAUGAUUGCUGACCCUGCCUCCUGUACUCCCAGUGCCACCAUCAACAGGUUUCCUCCAGCCCCCGACUGUCCCUGUCACCCGGUGCCAGAUGGGAAGUGAGAGCUCAGCCGAUCCACCUCUUUGUGGUGGAAACCCCCCGAGCUUCGGCUACAGGUUACUGAAGCCUUCAUGAAAAAUUCAGAACUGCAAAAAAAGUCUGGUAAGCAAUGCAACAGAACAGCAGGAGCCUAGCUGCGUUUAUUCCAGUCUGACUACAAACACUGCAGCAUUGGUAGCAUCAGAAGAAAAACAAAAGCCACAGCUAUCCUUCUUACCUGAAGCAUGAUCAAGGCCUGUAGGUAUCUCUGCACAUCAGAAUGCAUCUUUCCUUCUCUCCAAAAAGCAACAUCCAGCUAACACCCACAUCACGGAGGAAGAUCCAAGGGGAGCUGUGUGUGCAGCCUAUUUCAAGCUUUCUCACCUCUAAGUGACCUGAAUGAACUCUGAGGAUGGAACAAGCUACAGGUGGGGAGAAUGACUUGCCUGCUGAAGCUGCCUGCAGCUGCCAUCCUUCCCAAGGCUUCCUCAGCUGUGCCCUUUAACAGAAAUCUCUGCUCUUCCCUCCCUCUCAAUCCACUCCAAAAAACAAACUAAAGCUGGAGUAAGGCAUCUGCUCUACAUCUUGAUCCCAGGGCAGGAGGCAGGAGAGCCCCAGCAGCAGGCAUAGCCCAGGUGAACCAUCUCUAUAAUGGAGGAAAGCAGCAUCCCUAGCGUUGAACACAGUCUCCUCGCUGGGAAUACUUCUGAAGGGACUGGAGAAGAAGUACAUGGUGCAAGAAGCGUAAGAUGACACACAACCUGUGCUCUUGCCCUGAUACCGAAGGUCACCUAACCCUGGUAGGUCCUAUGUCUUUUGCCACAAACAGGACACAGGGAGAAGCAGCCAGUCUAAGAACUGGAGGCAGCAGUCCCAACAAGGGAUGCUGGCCAACGGUUUGGGCAAGCUCCCAGCUGUACGACUGCCGUAGGGUUAAGCACAUAGGUGUGGAAGUGAUCCAACAAGUCAUCCCAGCUGUCAGCCCAGAGCCAGCAUUUUGAUGGACCAUCCUUAACAGUGGGACUUAGUUCAGCAUAAGUACCAGCCAGAGGAAAAUAGAGGGAGAAACAAAAAGGAGCAUGCAGGUGGAUAAGAAGCAAAUAAUAAAAGAGAAGCUUCUAUCACAGGAACUGACAUCAUGGAAUGGCUUAUGUUGGAAGGGACCUUAAAUCCAAAGAAAUGCAAUUGUAUGGAAGCAUUUGGCCCACUUUCCUCUGCCUUUUUAAAAAGCAGCACAGAAGAGCCUGGUGUCCACACCUAACAGGGAUCCCUGGUUCCCGGAGUGCCAGCUUUGUCCUUGCCCCUGGGUCAGCCUAACCCCAUGCACUGAGCCUUUUCCCAAAGCAGCAUUUGUGUGGCAUGGACAAACACAAGCCCUCCCGUGUCCCUCCUUUUAAAAGCAGACUUCGGAGGAAAAAAACUGCUGCAGGAGAUGGCAUUUAUUGCAGGUAACAGAGAAGGAGUGACUGCUCGCACUGCCGCUAUGGGGCUGGGUCCUGCGAAAAUAAAGAAAUAAAGAAAUAAAAAAUAAAAAGAAAAUCCCAAAGAUCUUAAAAACAAAGCCAGCAGUAGGUGGUUGGGGAUGAAAUGAUGCGCGUUGGCAUGGGCGGUUCUAAGCGUUUGCUUAUCCCAAGCAGAUCUUUAACAACCCCUCCUUUCUAACCCGACAGAUCCAAGGGGUUACGGUGUCGGUGAGCUGCGAUCUCUUAUUUCAAGGAGCAUCAUCGGAAAGACGCUUUGACAAGUUUGUAGCGUUGAACCCGGCGUUUUUCGGGAGGAAAAUCCCGUGCGGGCAGCGCUUGGGGAAAGGGUUAACUCGGUGGCCGCGAUGCGUAUGAAAUGAUGGUAAAUUACCCGGCGCGUUCUCCCGGGGAAGAAAUUAGACUUCAAAAGGGCUGGAGCCCUCCUGAAUAUAUAUCAAGCAGAUGGGCUGAUGCGCUGUCUCGCUGAUGCGCAGUUGAUUAACCGCUCCAUAAAGCGCGGCAGCACCGCUCGGGUGCGCGUCGCUGUCCCGCGUUGGGCACGGGAGCGCGCACCAGGGCGGGCGAGAGGACACGGGGAUUACAGCGAUUAAACACAAAUACAAUAAACGAUAAAGAAGGAAGUUUGGAUGAAUGAGAAAUUAGGUCGUUGUAAGUGGGUGCGAUUUGCUCCGCCAGCCCCAAAACUCGUUUUCCUAGUCCCGAAUGUCGCUCUCCUAGACCCAGGUCUCGGUUUCCCUGCCCGGCGCACGGGGGCACGGCUCCGAGCGGCGGCAGCCCGGUGCGAAGGGCUCCGGUGUCCCCGUCCCGAGCCGGGAGGGAGGGAGCGCACGGCAGAAAGGCAGCGGGGGCAGCGAGGAAACGCUUCGACGUGUUGACACGUCCUGGCCGCGCUCCCAAAGGCGUCCCUCUGCCACCCGAUAGCCCUUCGGAAGGGGCUCUCUGCCUUCCCCGGAGUCGAGUCAGCGGGGGGUUGCCCUCGGCGAGGAGGGAUCUUGGGGGCUCCGCGCGGCCCCCGCCGGUGACAUUCCUGCAGGGGAGCGGCGGCGAUAUCGCAGAGCUUUGCAGCAGAUGCGAGAGCCGCGCGUCCCUGGAGAGCUCCGCCGGCUCCCCACGUGUGCAAGAGGCUAAAGGGAGAGGAGCCAUGGGAGCACGCACACGCGUGAGACCCCCCCGCGCAAGCAGGCGUUGCUUUUGUAUCCCACUCCGACGGCCGUCGCUCCUCGG